rnacentral:rRNA from 1 species
GGAUUAGAUACCCGGGUAGUCCAUGCCGUAAACGUUGGGAACUAGAUGUGGGGACCAUUCCACGGUCUCCGUGUCGCAGCUAACGCAUUAAGUUCCCCGCCUGGGGAGUACGGCCGCAAGGCUAAAACUCAAAGGAAUUGACGGGGGCCCGCACAAGCGGCGGAGCAUGCGGAUUAAUUCGAUGCAACGCGAAGAACCUUACCAAGGCUUGACAUAUACGAGAACGCUCUAGAAAUAGAGAACUCUUUGGACACUCGUAUACAGGUGGUGCAUGGUUGUCGUCAGCUCGUGUCGUGAGAUGUUGGGUUAAGUCCCGCAACGAGCGCAACCCUCGUCGUAUGUUGCCAGCACGUAAUGGUGGGAACUCAUAUGAGACUGCCGGGGUCAACUCGGA